AGAAGCAGCCAGGAUGGAAUCCACCAUAAGGAUCAACAAUCCUGCGGACAUCUCUGUUAUUGUCAUCUAUUUUUUGGUAGUCCUGGCAGUGGGACUAUGGGCUAUGUACUCAACCAACCGAGGGACAGUAGGUGGAUUCUUCCUGGCUGGACGAAGCAUGGUUUGGUGGCCGAUUGGUGCUUCUCUGUUUGCCAGUAACAUUGGCAGUGGACAUUUCGUGGGUAUAGCAGGAACAGCCGCAGCUGGAGGAAUUGCCAUCGGAGGAUAUGAAUGGAAUGCUCUGAUAUUUGUGGUUGUUCUAGGAUGGCUGUUUGUACCUAUCUACGUCAAAGCUGGGGUGGUGACAAUGCCAGAGUAUCUGAAGAAGCGUUUUGGUGGGAAACGGAUUCAGGUCUACCUGUCAGUCCUUUCUCUGAUCCUGUAUAUUUUCACAAAGAUCUCAGCAGACAUAUUCUCUGGAGCUGUAUUUAUACAGCUGGCCAUAGGGCUGAAUCUUUAUUUGGCCAUAAUUAUCCUGCUUGCUAUUACUGCUCUUUACACCAUCACAGGUGGCCUUGCAGCUGUGAUUUACACAGACACCUUACAAACAUUUAUCAUGGUAGUGGGAUCCUUUAUUCUCAUGGGUUUUGCAUUUUCUGAAGUAGGAGGGUAUGAUGCUUUCAUGCAGAAGUACAUGGAAGCAGUUCCAUCUAACAUCACCUACGGGAAUACUACGAUUAGUGAAGAAUGCUACGCUCCUCGGAAAGAUUCCUUUCACAUUUUCCGAGAUCCCGUCAGUGGAGAUCUGCCGUGGCCAGGGCUCACUUUUGGUUUGAGCAUCAUUGCUUUGUGGUACUGGUGCACUGAUCAGGUUAUUGUCCAAAGAUGUCUCUCUGGCAAGAACAUGUCCCAUGUGAAGGCUGGUUGUAUCAUGUGUGGGUACCUGAAACUCUUGCCCAUGUUUAUUAUAGUGAUGCCUGGAAUGAUCAGCCGAAUUCUGUAUACAGAUGUGGUGGCUUGUGUUGUGCCUGAAGUCUGCCAAAAGUACUGUGGCACCGCAGUUGGCUGUACAAAUAUUGCUUAUCCAAAAAUGGUAGUGGAGCUUAUGCCAAAUGGUCUGCGGGGUCUGAUGUUGUCAGUCAUGUUGGCCUCCCUUAUGAGCUCCCUGACUUCCAUUUUUAACAGUGCUAGUACUUUGUUCACUAUGGACAUUUACACCAAAAUUCGAACACGACCAUCUGAGAAAGAGCUUAUGUUAGCUGGAAGGGCAUUUAUGUUACUUUUAAUUGGCAUCAGCAUUGCCUGGGUUCCUGUGGUGCAGUCAGCUCAAAGCGGGCAGCUCUUCGACUAUAUUCAGUCAGUUACUAGCUACCUGGGACCUCCCAUUGCUGCUCUCUUCCUGCUUGCCGUCUUCUGCAAGCGGGUCAAUGAGCAGGGUGCCUUCUGGGGCCUGAUGGUUGGGCUGCUGGCUGGACUCAGUAGGAUGAUUGCAGAGUUUGCCUAUGGAACAGGCAACUGUGUGACCCCUUCCAACUGCCCGUUCAUCAUCUGUGGGAUUCACUACCUUUACUUUGCAAUUAUUCUUUUUGGGCUUUCUGCCAUCGUCAUCCUGGCAGUCUCCUUCAUGACUAAGCCCAUCCCUGACGUACAUCUUUACCGCUUGUGUUGGUCUUUGCGGAACAGUGAAGAAGAACGUAUUGAUCUUGAUGCAGAUGAGGAGCAGGACAAAGCUGAUGAAAAAGAUGAGGAAUCAGUUAACGAGGAAAAUGAAGAAGAACCGGGAUGCUUUAAGAAAGCGUACAACUGGUUCUGUGGCUUAGAUCAACAAAAAGGACCCAAACUGAGCAAGGAGGAAGAGGAAGCAUUGAAGAAGAAACUGACUGACACAAGCGAAGUGCCACUUUGGAGAAACGUUGUGAAUAUUAAUGGCAUCAUCCUAUUGACUGUGGCUGUGUUUUGCCAUGCCUUCUUUGCAUAAACCUCUUAUUACACUUCUGAAAUUGUACUGUAUUAUCAAGCAAAAACGAUAACUUGUAGAUUUACAGAGUUAGAUACACUUAGUAUUUUCAUUGCCUACAUUUGUAAAAAAUCAGGGUGAUUUACUCGCUGAUUUUAUGAUCAUAAUUUCAACAAUCUAAAGAUGAAGGCCACUGGGAUUUCAGAGAGAGAAUUUCUGUUUAGAUAUUGAAUCAAUCCAGGGCUAAUAGAGGUUCAGAAUUUCCAUCCAAUAUUCUCUCUACUCAUGAUACAUUUCAUAUUUUAGGUGCAGAACAAGGCUGCAUGAGCCAUAUUUCAUACCAGGUUUUGUGAACUACCUUUUAGGGUUGAUUUUCAACCUUUCUUCUUCUGAUCAUUCAAAUUUCUUUUUCCUUUGGCUAUGAUAAUUUGAUAACAAAAACCCCACAACAACUGAGGGACUGUAUUAUGAAUUCAAAUUAAAAAAUCUUUUUUGUUCCCUCCAAGCAUGGGUUAAGUAAAGGAUUUAUGUAUAUACUGAUGUAUUUGACACUAUAUCUGACUUUCCAUUAUAACUUUUUUCACUCCUUUUCUCACUUUUCAUUGUGUUGUGUUUCUCAGUAAUCAAUGGAACACUAACCAUCUGAAUUGAUCACAUUUUGAAAUUAGGGAAAACAUGUCUCGAUGAUCUUAAGAAUUCUGCUUACGAUAGAUUCUCUGUUUAAGGUUAACUUCAAAAGGUCCUCCUGUCUUUAUAUUUUAAUAUGUAUCUAUACUUGAAUGUGAGGCUUUUUAUACAAAAUACAUAUAUUAUAUAUACACAUGCAAUACAUUAUAUAUAUGCACUAUAUAUAUUAUAUAUAUUUAAAAUAUAUAUGUAUGUGUGUAUAUAUAUAUUUAUUUCUUACUGAUCAAUUCCCAUCUUGGUAUGUCAAAGUUAAUCUCUACCCACAAUUACUAGAACCUCUUUAUCAUGGGGUUGGUGUUAAUCCAUUGUCUCUUUCUCUGGACUGCACCACAAAACAAUCCAUGCACUGGGUUAAAAGUCCAAAGCAUCAGAAUGCUGGGUUUGCAUUCUUCUUUCAAGUACAUUUGAGGGCUCUGUACUGCUUUUCUACAAAGCUAUAAAUCUUUCUUCUGAAGAUUUCAUUGAGAAAUAGAAUUCAUGCUGUAUGACAGCAUGAGUUAACAGUUCAUGAAGGAGAAUAGUCACAGCUGUGGGAUAUCAGCUAAACCGCUCUGAGUGUCUCCACGUGGUAACUUUGAUACCAGCUGGAGAUACAGGAAAAGAUAGAUCUAACACUUCAAAGCAAAAAGCAAUAGAUCUUAUAAUCUAAAAAUCUUAUCAUCUAAUUCAGCUUCCUGGUGAGCCAAGUGUAAAAAGACGACAUUGGUUGCUGUAGUCAAGCUGCACCACAGUUCUUGUUGCACACAUAUUGGGGGAUGCUGCACUGUCUCAAAGCAUUUCAGUGUGAUUCUACAGCAGGAUGCGCCAGACUUCCAAUAAGUGCAUCUAAAUAAGAAGCCAGUGUAGUGUCUCUGCAUGUGCUACACCACACUGCCACUAACUCCUGCAGCUUUAAUCGCUCUCACUUCAUAACCUUCUGCCAGUAUCUUUUCUUCAUUUGGAUCUAACGCUCUGGAUUCUAGCAGAAUUGCUGGUCUUCAGUAGAAUUCCUGCUCUUCAGUAUAAUCCCUGCAGUACGCUGAAAGGUUUUGCAUAGGCCAGAUCAAAUCAAUAGUAUAUAAAUACCAGUACAAACCUUUUUCUUACACUUAAUACAGAGUAUUUUAAAGAUCAUGGAAUUAAUUAUAUUUAAUGGACUAUGAAGACCUAUAUGUAUUAAAGUAUUUGUAUAUUUUGAAGUAUUUGGUGUCCACAAAAUGAUGGGAUUUUUAUAUAAUAAGAUGGAAGAAAGCAAAACUUAAUGUGGUGUCUAGAUUUUGGCUCUGGGUAAUAGUAAUGGAUGACGAACAAACAAGAAAUACUUAAUGAGGAUUGCCAAGAUCCCUCUUUGUCAUGCGUUGUUACAAAAAGAAAAAUAUGGUGAAAUUAUACAGCUGUUUGGAUAAAGACAAGUAGCACAAGUAUUUGAGCAGCCUUUAGAUGACCUCCUGGUUAAUCAGGCACCCUCACUUCAUUUUCCUCCCCAGAAUUAAAGAAUUUUGAAAAACUAACUCUCAGUUUCCCAGGGACGUUCACUGUACGUCCUCAGCAAUCUGUUUUCAUUCUAGUCUGAAAACUGGAUGAUGUAAAGGGCAGAGUUCAAAUGUUUACAUAAAGUUUGACUGCUGCUUAGAGUACUUCUCUAAUUUUGUAGAAUUUCAUAGAAAAAUUGCCUGAUACUGUGGACAGUUGAUAAAAAUUUUAUGUUUAUAUUAAUAGUUAAAUGCCACCUCAGGUUGGUAACUAUUGCAUUCAAAGGCAGUUCCAUGAUUUUAAGGAAGAAAGUGACUUUUCAGUUGUCAGGGGAACUCUGUCCAUGUUACAGCUGGUGUUGUGGGAUGCUCUCAGAUAAACCCCAAAAAGUAGCUGACACUGUCCUGGGCAUUCUCAUGCUUUAGAAAUGGGAACAGCAAGCACAUUCUUGUUCCCCAUGUUUGACUGUAAAUUGGAAAUACUUCUGGUUAGUGGAGAAACUCCAGAUAUAUGUCUGGCUAACAGCACAAUAUACAUGCAUGGCAUGUACAGCAUAUUACAACUCUAUUUCAGGUGGUCCUGAGACAUCCCAGCUUGGCUUGUCAAGUAAGAUACAGGGUUACAGCUUAUUUUAGUGGACUUCAGUUAGAUAUACAGAAUUAUUUUAAAUGAACUGCACAAAAAUAAAAAUUCACCUCGUAGCACUGUAAGCCAAUUACAACACUGAGAUAUAAAGAACACACACUAAACAAAUCAGAUCUUCCAUUUAAGAAUGACUACAUAAUUUUCAGGCCAAGUCCUGAAAAAGGGUAACCACUCUUCAUUUAUGUUUUUGUUUCUCUGUAUCACCCAUAACAAACGUAUCCAAGCAUCUCACAAAUGUUAAUUAUUAAUGAUCAUGAGAACACUCUGUUCUUAGAAUUUGGUUUUAUUCCUAUUUUGUUAUUGAAAAAGCUCAUGCACUGAAAUGCUGGGGGAAGGGAAGGUCUGUGGCUUAAUUUGGAAUACAUCUGCAGUAAUCAAGGUUUGGUUUUAACCAAAAUGUCUGUCCAUGGUGAAUUAGGACACAGCACAAGGCUGAGUUCUUCAGGUGCAAGCGAUCAUUGUGAUCAGAGCACUGUCAGCAGCCAGGACCGCUAAUUGGCUCAAUUCCUGCUCACAUCAAUUCCUUAACUGGCAAAAUUAGGAACGUUUAUACGAAGUAAAAGCUGACACAAAAAUGAGGAGCAAAGAUUAAUAGUAAAUAUAUGUAUCACCAGUGGUGACUGGCGUUUGGGAGAAAAGCUGCAGAGCCUCGGUUAUUGUUUUUGAAGAACACGAAUUCAUUGGAUUGAAGCACUGAGCUGGAGUUUAAAGCUGAUCUUCCUGGGCACAUACAGUCCCACUGCACAGAGGAGGGCUGUUCACAGGCUAUGGAGUCACAGCAAAGCUGUUCUGAGGAAGGCUGAUUUUUUAAAAUAUAUUUGAUGAUCUCAUGUCUUGGCUGGAGGUCCCUGUGGCCUGCACCUACAGUGUUACUGUGUGGUAGCAAGAAAGCAAGAGAAGGGAGCAGCUGUUAGAGUUAGCUUCCCUUCUGUUAAAAUACAGUAUCGCAGAUUUGACAACAGAGGGCGAUACGCUACUAAGGAAGACGAGCAAUGCAAAAACCCACCAGUUUUUACCUGGUGAUUCACGGCAUUUUUUCAUGGAGUGUGUAUUGCAGGCCUGUGCUAGAGAUUUUAAAGGGCAGAGUAAAACUGCACUCACUCAGAUAUCGAGUAGUUGUUCUGAUGAAAGACAGCAUAACCAGUGCCUGAGGUUAUUACCCUUAUCAUUAAUAAAAUAGGUUGCCUUUCCUGUCCCUCCUGAAGAACACUCCACCUCAUCAUCUACCAGGGGAAGCUGAGAAAAAGAAUUCCCUGGAGCUGUUGUGCCCACCCUCCCCUCAUCGGGCAGUGCUUAAGCCAGCGCCGCUGUGCAUGUGCCCCACCAGCAGCUCGCCUGCUUUUCUUAAGGUACCUGGAAGAGCUUCAAGUUGAGCAAAAUUUCUCCCUGCUUUGGAACAUGAAGAGAUAGAAUUAAAAGCUGCCAUUUUCCAGAGCAGGACAGAAUGGUUUCCAACUCCUGGACUUCUGAAAGCAAAUGGGGACAGGGAUUGAGUCUAUUUCCAAGAACAAAGAGCCAUAAUAUUCUUAACCUUCUGGAAACUGUUAGAAAAAACCUAAUAUAAACCUUUGUGCAUUCAAAAUGAGCUCUGCCUGGGUGGGACACAAGGCUUAUACAAGAAGGUCUUGUUUCUCAUGAGUGCAGCUGUCUUGUCUUCUCCUGGUAUUGCUGAGAAUUGUUAGGCAGUUGAUUUGAAAACUUAGUCUGCAUAAAGUGUAACUAACUGAAUUAAUUCCAGUAUUGACCACAUUAAUUAUAUUUUGGCCUUAAUCAUUGUCGGCUUCAAGCUAAAAGGACAAAUAAUUUUUCAUUGAUGUUAAAAAUCUGCCUAGGUGCUAAUAUCAUUGUAGCAUAGAGCACUGUGCAGCAUAUAGCGCUAAAAGCAAAGACUUGCUGUAUACACAGCACUUCUUUUGAAACAAUGAGUUUAAUUAUAGUGCAUGAGAUUCCAGAGCCUGGCACGUUAAUUUAAGUAUUUAUAAUGUGUAUGAAGCAAAUCAAAAGGAUCCUUAGCUUUUUUGUGACCAAGUCUGUGGCAGCUUUAUUAUGGAGUAUACUGACUGAAAGCAAAGUCAGUCCAAGGGGAAGCAUUCAUCAGCUGUGUUUCUUUGAUCCAGCUAAUUGUUUUACUGACACCCAGAGUGCUAAUAAAUUGCCCAGCCUCACAAAUUAGGGACUGUUGUCUCUCAUUCCAAAGCCAUAGACAGCCAUGGCACUCCCCAUACACACUACAUUUCGGUACUUCCCCUCGUGUUGAAUGGUUCAACGCCAAGACAACGCAAAGCCAGCAAGCAUGUCUCUAGGACUAAAUCUGUGACUUGGGUGAGAAAACAUGUCCUAAUUUGAGAAAGAAUGCCCACAGAAAAGUAUCAGUACUGCAGGUUGCCCGUUUAACACCCAUGUAACAUCAGUGUCAUCAUCUUGGUGGUGAAGUUUGUGGGGAACAUGACGCAACUGUCCCUGCCCUUGGACUUGCUAGGACAGGUGACCUUUUCAUUUAAUCAGAAUGUCAAUAGGAGAAGAAUUUUAGGAUGCAUUUUUCAUUUAGUGUACUGUCUUAAGGGCAAAACUGUACUUAGCAGUAAAGUAAUAACUGACAGAAGUCAAAAUACUGCUAGGGCCAAAGGAUAUCUUGGGUUAACUCCAACCUGAUUCGUAAAUUAGCAUUGCUGUAACUUCAGUACAUCUUGUUCUCCUUUGUUUCAAGACUCAUUGCACCUCAGAAGAAAAAGAAAAUCCUUAAUAAUAAGGAUAUUUUUUUAGAUAUGAAAAUACAUUAAAUGAUUAUUUGCUAAAUUAUAGAAUCAAAGUUAGUUUAACAAUGAGUAAGAGUACUGAGAAUUCCAAACCUAAAAAUCUGGCUUAUACUGUAGAUUUUCUACUCAAUUAUUUUUACCCUGUAAUUUCUGUUCAUACCACUGGGUUGUUUUUUUUGUCUGUCUUCUAAACAUGUUUUUGGUCAAGUUGCUAUUUUCACCAUCAGUUUCUCUGUUUGUGAAAACUUGUUCAAGGAUUUAUUUUUGAUUGCUUUGAUUUUUCCAACUACCAUUUCAAACCUGUAAUCUCAUCUCCCAUCCUAUAGUCACUGCUUGAACAGGGAUACUCAGAAAUACACUGAAACAUAUCUCAAAAAUUACUGGACAU